rnacentral:other from 1 species
GCAACCCUGCUGUGUGCGUGAUAGGCUUCGCAUCUUGAGCCAACGCCACUUGAAAGGGAGAUGACAUACGCAGAGGGGAUGUAGUAGCCUGACAGGCAAGGCAGAGUCCUCGCGAAAAUUUUCCCACCUGCACAUGCAGGUUCAAGUAUAGAGGUCUACACGGCAUAGCGGGGCACAG